rnacentral:rRNA from 1 species
AAUGAACGCUGGCGGCAUGCCUUACACAUGCAAGUCGAACGGAAACGGGCCUUCGGUUGCCGACUAGUGGCGAACGGGUACGUAAUACAUCGGAACGGGCCCGAUCGUGGGGGAAAACGAGUCGAAAGCUUUGCUAAUACCUCAUACGAUCUAAGGAAUAAAGCAGCGGACCGCAAGGCCUUACGCCGCCGUAGCGGCCGAUGGCAGAUUAGGUAGGUGGGGGGUUAAAAGCUUACCAAGCCGACGAUCUGUAGCGGGUCUGAGAGGAUGAUCAGCCACACUGGGACUGAGACACGGUCCAGACUCCUACGGGAGGCAGCAGUGGGGAAUCUUGGACAAUGGGCGCAAGCCUGAUCCAGCCAUGCCGCGUGAAGGAUGAAGGCCUUCGGGUUGUAAACUGCUUUUGUACGGAACGAAAAGCCUUCUUUUAAUACAGGAGCGUCAUGACGGUACCGUAAGAAUAAGCACCGGCUAACUACGUG